rnacentral:tRNA from 1 species
CUCCCCAUAGUUCAACAGGAUAGAACGAGGGCCUCCUAAGCCCUAGAUCCAGGUUCGAGCCCUGGUGGGGAGGCCA